rnacentral:lncRNA from 1 species
UUGUGCUCAGUUCUCUUUACUUCCUACAACCGAGUACAUGGGUCACAGGGUGAGGGUGCGACGGCACAGGGAUAUGCCCCUCCGUGCCUCCCAACACGCCUGCACACAGGAUGGUGGUGUCUGCAGCAUCACAGGUCAUGCAGGGCAUGGGGAAGGGAUGGACAGGGCAUCUGAAGGGACCAGGGCCAGAUGCAAUGCUACAUUUGAAGAGAACACUGCCCUCCCCAUUCCAGCCCAGUUUGGCUUCUCGGGUACAUUCCAGAACCUUAUCAGUGCAGCGUCUACUCAACCAUCUCUCCAUGCUGGGAGGGCAGGGGACUGAACCGAGCCACAGCGUCUGUCUGUUGCUCCCUUGACCAGUGCUCCCCCCCUCCCACGGAGGAAGGCCUGC